rnacentral:rRNA from 1 species
UACGUAGGGGGCAAGCGUUGUCCGGAUUCAUUGGGCGUAAAGAGCUCGUAGGCGGUUUGUCGCGUCGAAUGUGAAAACCCGGGGCUCAACCCCGGGCCUGCAUUCGAUACGGGCAGACUAGAGUUCGGUAGGGGAGUCUGGAAUUCCUGGUGUAGCGGUGAAAUGCGCAGAUAUCAGGAGGAACACCGGUGGCGAAGGCGGGACUCUGGGCCGAUACUGACGCUGAGGAGCGAAAGCGUGGGGAGCGAACAGG